AUCAGCAUAAGAACUCAUAUCUGUAAGAAUGACAAGAACAUGCUUCCCACAUUCGUAUGCUAGAUAUUCUGCAGUGGUCAGAGCAAUCCUGGGAGUAAUGAUGCGUUCUAUUGUAGGAUCAUUUGCCAGAUUUAAGAAAAGCGUCACUCUCUCCAUGGAUCCAUUUUCCUCAAAAUCGCGUUUGAAAAAUUGUGCGGUUUCCAUGUUGACUCCCAUAGCUGCAAAGACUAUGGCAAAAUUGUCCGCUUCACUGUCCUCAAGAAGAUUUUCAGAUUUCUCCAACCUCUUCACUAAACCAGCUUGUCGGCAGAUCUGAGCCGCAAUUUCAUUAUGAGGAAGACCAGCAGCAGAGAAAAGAGGAAUCUUCUGCCCUCUAGCAAUUGAAUUCAUGACGUCUACUGUGGAAAUUCCUGUUUGUAUCAUUUCUUCA
rnacentral:misc_RNA from 1 species